rnacentral:rRNA from 1 species
GGGGCUAAACCAUGCACCGAAGCUGCGGCAGCGACACUAUGUGUUGUUGGGUAGGGGAGCGUUCUGUAAGCCUGCGAAGGUGUGCUGUGAGGCAUGCUGGAGGUAUCAGAAGUGCGAAUGCUGACAUAAGUAACGAUAAAGCGGGUGAAAAGCCCGCUCGCCGGAAGACCAAGGGUUCCUGUCCAACGUUAAUCGGGGCAGGGU